rnacentral:rRNA from 1 species
AGAGUUUGAUCAUGGCUCAGGACGAACGCUGGCGGCGUGCUAAUACAUGCAAGUCGAGCGGGGAUUAUGCUUGAUCGCUUCGGUGAGACGGCAUAUAUCCUAGCGGCGGACGGGUGAGUAACGCGUGGGUAAUCUACCUCGUAGUUCGGGAUAACAGGCCGAAAGGCUUGCUAAUACCGGAUGAGUUCAUGCUUAUGCAUAUAGGUAUGAAGAAAGGGCUAGCCCGCUAUGAGAUGAGCCCGCGUCCCAUUAGCUUGUUGGUGGGGUAAUGGCCUACCAAGGCAACGAUGGGUAGCCGGCCUGAGAGGGUGUACGGCCACACUGGGACUGAGACACGGCCCAGACUCCUACGGGAGGCAGCAGUAGGGAAUCUUCCGCAAUGGACGAAAGUCUGACGGAGCAACGCCGCGUGAGUGAUGAAGGUUUUCGGAUCGUAAAACUCUGUUAUUAGGGAAGAACAAAUGUGUAAGUAACUGUGCACAUCUUGACGGUACCUAAUCAGAAAGCCACGGCUAACUACGUGCCAGCAGCCGCGGUAAUACGUAGGUGGCAAGCGUUAUCCGGAAUUAUUGGGCGUAAAGCGCGCGUAGGCGGUUUCUUAAGUCUGAUGUGAAAGCCCACGGCUCAACCGUGGAGGGUCAUUGGAAACUGGGAAACUUGAGUACAGAAGAGGAAAGUGGAAUUCCAUGUGUAGCGGUGAAAUGCGCAGAGAUAUGGAGGAACACCAGUGGCGAAGGCGACUUUCUGGUCUGUAACUGACGCUGAUGUGCGAAAGCGUGGGGAUCAAACAGGAUUAGAUACCCUGGUAGUCCACGCCGUAAACGAUGAGUGCUAAGUGUUAGGGGGUUUCCGCCCCUUAGUGCUGCAGCUAACGCAUUAAGCACUCCGCCUGGGGAGUACGACCGCAAGGUUGAAACUCAAAGGAAUUGACGG